rnacentral:rRNA from 1 species
UGGACGAAGUCUGACGGAGCACGCCGCGUGAGUGAUGAAGGUUUUCGGAUCGUAAAGCUCUGUUGUUAGGGAAGAACAAGUGCCGUUCGAAUAGGGCGGCACCUUGACGGUACCUAACCAGAAAGCCACGGCUAACUACGUGCCAGCAGCCGCGGUAAUACGUAGGUGGCAAGCGUUGUCCGGAAUUAUUGGGCGUAAAGCGCGCGCAGGUGGUUCCUUAAGUCUGAUGUGAAAGCCCACGGCUCAACCGUGGAGGGUCAUUGGAAACUGGGGAACUUGAGUGCAGAAAAGGAAAGUGGAAUUCCAAGUGUAGCGGUGAAAUGCGUAAAUAUUUGGAGGAACACCAGUGGCGAAGGCGACUUUCUGGUCUGUAACUGACACUGAGGCGCGAAAGCGUGGGGAGCAAACAGGAUUAAAUACCCUGGUAGUCCACGCCGUAAACGAUGAGUGCUAAGUGUUAGGGGGUUUCCGCCCCUUAGUGCUGCAGCUAACGCAUUAAGCACUCCGCCUGGGGAGUACGGUCGCAAGACUGAAACUCAAAGGAAUUGACGGGGGCCCGCACAAGCGGUGGAGCAUGUGGUUUAAUUCGAAGCAACGCGAAGAACCUUACCAGGUCUUGACAUCCUCUGACAACCCUAGAGAUAGGGCUUUCCCCUUCGGAGGACAGAGUGACAGGUGGUGCAUGGUUGUCGUCAGCUCGUGUCGUGAGAUGUUGGGUUAAGUCCCGCAACGAGCGCAACCCUUGAUCUUAGUUGCCAGCAUUCAGUUGGGCACUCUAAGAUGACUGCCGGUGACAAACCGGAGGAAGGUGGGGAUGACGUCAAAUCAUCAUGCCCCUUA